CUACGGGUUGCUCCAGGCGAGAAAACUUUGCAAUGUGCGAAAGCACGACAAGGUUAAUCCGAGUGGUUUCUGCUAAAGGAACCUUUUGACAGUCCUAGAAACACUGUUGAAUACGGGGUGGGCAAGUUCUGGUGUCAGCCGCCGCGGUAAAACCAGCACCUCAAGUGGUCAGGAUGAUUAUUGGGCCUAAAGCAUCCGUAGCCGGCUCUGUAAGUUUUCGGUUAAAUCUGUACGCUCAACGUACAGGCUGCCGGGAAUACUGCAGAGCUAGGGAGUGGGAGAGGUAGACGGUACUCGGUAGGAAGGGGUAAAAUCCUAUGAUCUAUUGAUGACCACCUGUGGCGAAGGCGGUCUACCAGAACACGUCCGACGGUGAGGGAUGAAAGCUGGGGGAGCAAACCGGAUUAGAUACCCGAGUAGUC
rnacentral:rRNA from 1 species